rnacentral:rRNA from 1 species
CCUACGAGUGGCAGCAGUCGGGAAUAUUGCGCAAUGGAGGAACCUCUGACGCCGUGACGCCGCGUAUAGGAAGAAGGUUUUCGGAUUGUAACCUAUUUUCGUUAAGGAAGAGAAAGGACAGUACCUAAGGAGGCAGCUCUGGCUAACUACGUGCCAGCAGCCGCGGUAAUACGUAGGGAGCGAGCGUUAUCCGGAAUUAUUGGGUGUAAAGGGUGCGUAGACGGGAAUGCAAGUUAGUUGUGAAAUCCCUCGGCUUAACUGAGGAACUGCAACUAAAACUACAGUUCUUGAGUGCAGGAGAGGUAAGUGGAAUUCCUGGUGUAGCGGUGAAAUGCGUAGAUAUUAGGAGGAACACCAGUGGCGAAGGCGACUUACUGGACUGUAACUGACGUUGAGGCACGAAAGUGUGGGGAGCAAACAGGAUUAGAUACCCCAGUAGUC